rnacentral:rRNA from 1 species
CGGACGGGUGAGGGAUACAUCGGAAUCUACUCUGUCGUGGGGGAUAACGUAGGGAAACUUACGCUAAUACCGCAUACGACCUACGGGUGAAAGCAGGGGAUCUUCGGACCUUGCGCGAUUGAAUGAGCCGAUGUCGGAUUAGCUAGUUGGCGGGGUAAAGGCCCACCAAGGCGACGAUCCGUAGCUGGUCUGAGAGGAUGAUCAGCCACACUGGAACUGAGACACGGUCAGACUCCUACGGGAGGCAGCAGCC